UGGGGAAUAUUGCACAAUGGAGGGAACUCUGAUGCAGCGACGCCGCGUGAACGAAGAAGGCUUUCGAGUCGUAAAGUUCUUUUAUAUGGGAAGAUAAUGACGGUACCAUAAGAAAAAGCCCCGGCUAACUACGUGCCAGCAGCCGCGGUAAUACGUAGGGGGCUAGCGUUGUCCGUAAUCACUGGGGGUAAAGGGUUCGCAGGCGGAAAUGCAAGUCAGGUGUAAAAGGCAGUAGCUUAACUACUGUAAGCAUUUGAAACUGCAUAUCUUGAGAAGAGUAGAGGUAAGUGGAAUUUUUAGUGUAGCGGUGAAAUGCGUAGAUAUUAAAAAGAAUACCGGUGGCGAAGGCGACUGACUGGGCUCAUUCUGACGCUGAGGAACGAAAGCGUGGGUAGCAAACAGG
rnacentral:rRNA from 1 species